rnacentral:rRNA from 1 species
CGCGAAUCGCCCUUCGGGGUGCACCAGGCGCGAAAACUUUACAAUGCGGGAAACCGUGAUAAGGGGACACCGAGUGCCAGCAUCAUAUGCUGGCUGUCCAGGUGUGUAAACUACACCUGUUAGCAAGGGCCGGGCAAGACCGGUGCCAGCCGCCGCGGUAACACCGGCGGCCCGAGUGGUGAUCGUGAUUAUUGGGUCUAAAGGGUCCGUAGCCGGUUUGGUCAGUCCUCCGGGAAAUCUGAUAGCUUAACUAUUAGGCUUUCGGGGGAUACUGCCAGGCUUGGAACCGGGAGAGGUAAGAGGUACUACAGGGGUAGGAGUGAAAUCUUGUAAUCCCUGUGGGACCACCUGUGGCGAAGGCGUCUUACCAGAACGGGUUCGACGGUGAGGGACGAAAGCUGGGGGCACGAACCGGAUUAGAUACCCGGGUAGUCCCAGCCGUAAACGAUGCUCGCUAGGUGUCAGGCAUGGCGCGACCGUGUCUGGUGCCGCAGGGAAGCCGUGAAGCGAGCCACCUGGGAAGUACGGCCGCAAGGCUGAAACUUAAAGGAAUUGGCGGGGGAGCAC